rnacentral:misc_RNA from 1 species
GCUAAAAAAAUAACUAACAACAGAUUGCGACUAAUUUGCGAGACGAAUCUUUUAAGCCUAAUUUCUCCAUGAUUUGACAAUGUGGUGCUACAGUAAACAUUUGCUAAUGACAGAUUAAUUAGACUUAAUAAAUUCAUCUCGCGGUUUACUGACGGAUUCUGUAAUUAGUUUUUUUUAUUA